GUACGCUGGCGGCACGCCUAACACAUGCAAGUCGAACGAAGUAGCAAUACUUAGUGGCAGACGGGUGAGUAACAUGUGGGUAUCUACCCUUUGGCCUGGAAUAACACGAGGAAACUUGUGCUAAUACUGGAUAAGUCUUUACGGAGAAAGCUUUAUGCACCAUUGGAUGAGCCCGCACUUGAUUAGUUUGUUGGUGGGGUAAUGGCCUACCAAGACUGUGAUCAAUAGCUGAUUUGAGAGGAUGAUCAGCCACAUUGGGACUGAGACACGGCCCAAACUCCUACGGGAGGCAGCAGUGGGGAAUCUUGCACAAUGGAGGAAACUCUGAUGCAGCGAUGCCGCGUGAGUGAAGAAGGCCCUUGGGUUGUAAAGCUCUUUCGUCGGGGAAGAAAAUGACUGUACCCGAAUAAGAAGGUCCGGC
rnacentral:rRNA from 1 species